GAUGAACGCUGGCGGCGUGCCUAAUACAUGCAAGUCGAGCGAACAGACGAGGAGCUUGCUCCUCUGACGUUAGCGGCGGACGGGUGAGUAACACGUGGAUAACCUACCUAUAAGACUGGGAUAACUUCGGGAAACCGGAGCUAAUACCGGAUAAUAUAUUGAACCGCAUGGUUCAAUAGUGAAAGACGGUUUUGCUGUCACUUAUAGAUGGAUCCGCGCCGCAUUAGCUAGUCGGUAAGGUAACGGCUUACCAAGGCGACGAUGCGUAGCCGACCUGAGAGGGUGAUCGGCCACACUGGAACUGAGACACGGUCCAGACUCCUACGGGAGGCAGCAGUAGGGAAUCUUCCGCAAUGGGCGAAAGCUUGACGGAGCAACGCCGCGUGAGUGAUGAAGGUCUUCGGAUCGUAAAACUCUGUUAUUAGGGAAGAACAAAUGUGUAAGUAACUAUGCACGUCUUGACGGUACCUAAUCAGAAAGCCACGGCUAACUACGUG
rnacentral:rRNA from 1 species